CACAUGUUAGUAUGGUCCCUGUGCAAGGAUGACAUAUAAAUUAGUGAAGCAUUGCAUUUUUUU
rnacentral:snRNA from 1 species